rnacentral:rRNA from 1 species
CGUAGGGUGCAAGCGUUAAUCGGAAUUACUGGGCGUAAAGCGUGCGCAGGCGGUUCCGCAAGUCAGAUGUGAAAUCCCCGGGCUCAACCUGGGAACUGCAUUUGAAACUACGGGGCUAGAGUGUGUCAGAGGGGGGUGGAAUUCCACGUGUAGCAGUGAAAUGCGUAGAGAUGUGGAGGAACACCAAUGGCGAAGGCAGCCCCCUGGGAUGACACUGACGCUCAUGCACGAAAGCGUGGGAGCAAACAGGAUU